AGUGAACGCUGGCGGUAGGCCUAACACAUGCAAGUCGAACGGCAGCACAGUAAGAGCUUGCUCUUACGGGUGGCGAGUGGCGGACGGGUGAGGUAUACAUCGGAAUCUACUUUUUCGUGGGGGAUAACGUAGGGAAACUUACGCUAAUACCGCAUACGACCUACGGGUGAAAGCAGGGGAUCUUCGGACCUUGCGCGAUUGAAUGAGCCGAUGUCGGAUUAGCUAGUUGGCGGGGUAAAGGCCCACCAAGGCGACGAUCCGUAGCUGGUCUGAGAGGAUGAUCAGCCACACUGGAACUGAGACACGGUCCAGACUCCUACGGGAGGCAGCAGUGGGGAAUAUUGGACAAAGGGCGCAAGCCUGAUCCAGCCAUACCGCGUGGGUGAAGAAGGCCUUCGGGUUGUAAAGCCCUUUUGUUGGGAAGGAAAAGCAGCAGGUUAAUACCCCGCUGUUCUGACGGUACCCAAAGAAUAAGCACCGGCUAACUUCGUG
rnacentral:rRNA from 1 species